UACGGAGGGUGCGAGCGUUGUCCGGAAUCAUUGGGCGUAAAGGGCGCGUAGGUGGCCCGGUCAGUUCGUGGUGAAAGCGCGGGGCUCAACCCUGCGUCGGCCAUGGAUACUGCCGCGGCUGGAGCACUGUAGAGGCAGGCGGAAUUCCGGGUGUAGCGGUGGAAUGCGUAGAGAUCCGGAAGAACACCGGUGGCGAAGGCGGCCUGCUGGGCAGUUGCUGGACACUGAGGCGCGACAGCGUGGGGAGCAACAGG
rnacentral:rRNA from 1 species